rnacentral:piRNA from 1 species
UCCAACACCAGGCCUUGGGGCAACGAAG